rnacentral:misc_RNA from 1 species
UGUACCUGUACAGAUUCACAAUUGGAACCGCCAAGAAUAGGAGUGGGGAACUGUCGAACCCUUACAUUCUCCCCCACCUAAUCCCGUGCGUUCACAUCGCUUCCCUGUGCAACUUGUCAUACUCCCUCGCACAUAGGAGCCCACAUACCAUUUGUCGCUCUCGCCCAAUUCAAACGCUUAAGCAGCAUGUUGGCCAUUGGUUUGCCAAAACACUCGCCCACUUUCGCACGUAGACAUUCUCCAAAAUGCCUUGCUAAGGUUCCUCAUAUUGCUCGCCAGACACAUAUAAGCUGCAUGGCAAGCUACACUUGUCCCUUUGAUCGAUCCCUUUCUUAUACGAUAUGGUAUUGAGAAACUCUUAUCUACCUCUGUCUCAUUGAGGCCUGGUACUCUCCCUCAUCCGAUUCUAACAACACUCUUAUCGCUAUCGGUACCGUGCCUGCCCCGAUCCCAUUGGGAUGCUUGACGUGAUUCAGGUCAACUGGAGCCUGCUCUUAUACCACUUUGUCACGGGACGGGAGUUCUAACCUCGUGCUGUGCCUAGUCCCCCUUGGCCACGUCCCCCUUGGCCAGGUCCCCUAGGUCAGACUUUUCCCUAUUUGGCAAGUUUGCUUAGGCUUAAAUAUUAAGCAUCUUUGAGGUU